CGAAGCUUCGUUGAGGAGAUAUUAACGGAAAACACUGACCAAUCAGACCGCGCGUAUACCGUUGGAGCGCCCGCAGUAGCGUAGGCUACGCGCUAGGCGGCCGCCUUGCUAAUAGCAAAUUUAUGGUUAAAGCGGCCAAUCGGACUGCAGAAAAUUCAAAUAUAAAUUGACAUUGAGAGAGUCUCCUUUUCAAACGGCGGUUAAAAUUAUGGGAAAGUCGCAAGCGAUGUAAAUAUUGUUAUUAAUUAUUUGAUGGUAUCGAACGAUACGUUAAUGAGUAAGAAUGUCGGAUAGCAUUAAAGUUGCGAUUAGAGUGAGACCGUUAAUAAAACGCGAGAAAGAAGAGAAUCAAACGAUACAAUGGGUAGUUCAAGGGAACUGUAUUGUCCCGACCGAUCCGGAGAUGAAAAAACGUGGAGAUGGAGGAUUUUGCUUCGAUCAUAUUUUUGAUACCGAUGCAACUAAUAUGGAUGUUUUUAAUACUAUCGUGAAGCCUAUUGUCGAUGCUGCUGUGAAUGGCAUCAAUGGAACGGUGUUUGCCUAUGGGCAGACAAGCUCUGGUAAAACGUACAGCAUGCUAGGGACAUCCCAAGAACUCGGGAUAGUCCCACUUGCGAUUGACUAUAUGUUUGACGCGAUUGGAAACACUAUCGGAAGGGAAUUUUUAUUGAGAGUAUCAUAUUUAGAGCUUUACAACGAAAGAGUCAACGAUUUAUUGAACAAAAAUAAUACCGAUUUGAAGCUUAAAGAGGACGGUAAUGGACAAAUAGUUUUACAAUGUAAAGAAGAAAUCACAAAUUGUCCAGAGAGCGUGAUAUCUUUGAUGAAGAAAGGAGAUAAAAUAAGAAGAAUUGGAGAAACUAACAUGAACGAACGUAGUAGUAGAAGUCAUACCAUAUUUAGAAUUACAAUCGAAAGCAGAGAAGCUGAAGGAGAUUCGGAUGGUGCUAUACAAGUCUCCCAAUUGAAUCUAGUAGAUCUCGCUGGUUCUGAAAGAGCACGACAAACGGGAGCAACAGGCGAAAGAUUUAAAGAAGGACGACAUAUUAACAUGUCUCUGUCAACCCUAGGAUUAGUAAUCAUGCAAUUGAGCGAAUCUCAAGAUAGCCAGAAACAUGUUAAUUUUCGUGACAGUAAAUUAACAAGACUGUUGCAGAGUUCGCUUGGCGGUAAUGCUAUGACGGCUAUACUGUGCGCCGUGACACCAGCUGCUUUGGAAGAAACUCAAUGCACUUUGUCGUUCGCAUGUCGCGCUAAAAGUGUAAAAAACAAGCCAGAAAUUAACGAAGUUAUGUCCGAUGCAGCACUUUUGAAACGAUACGCGAAACAAUUAUCGAAACUUCAAGCAGAAUUACAGAGAAUAAAAACAGAAAAUCGCGUAGCAGAAGUUAAAGAGAUGGAAUCGAAAUUACAGGAAAAAGAACGCGUCAAUCAGUUGUUGGAAGAGCGUAUAGAAUUGUUGAAGACGCGAAUCGUGUCUGGAGAUACUACGAAUCAAGAAUCGUUCAAGUAUAAAUCUAAACGAAGACAAACAUGGGGCGGUCCGGGACUGUUUAAUCAACAUUUGCCUUCUUUUAAGCCUGCAACUGAGUUAUCGCCUAUAAAAAAAAUGUCUUGCGAGAAGCCACAUAACAGGAAGAGUAUCAUUCAAUCCGCAGAUAUAAUAAAUCAAACAUUUCAAACGGCUUUCACCGAUUUCGAAUUGGAAUUAUUUGAAAGUGAAAGAGCUCGCGAAAGUAGAGGAGACGUUACCGACAGCGACGACGAAUCGUUCGUCACGAAACGUAAUCGUCGUGUUACAUUUAUGGAUGAUGUAUUAAUCGCUAGAUCCAAGGACAGUAUAACACCAGAAAAAAUUAAUCUUAAUAUAACACCAGAGAAAUGUGACACAGCAACUCAAACGCUAAGUUAUGAGGUGUCUCCUUCCACGCCAAAACAUAUUUUACGACAAUGUAUCGAAGAUUUAGGAAAGGAGUAUGCGGAACUCCGUCAAUUUACAGUUAUGGAGAAGCAACUAAUAUGCCAAGAAAAUAAUAAUUAUUGCACGCAUAACAAGGAGCCGUUACAAUCGAAGAAAUUGAAGUUCGAUUCCGAAGUCGCGACGGCAGACACUACGGAAUCCGUGAAACAAAGCGAAGACGUUACAUCUAAGGAGGACGAGUUCGAGCAGAUUAACGCCGAGUUGAAAGCCACGUUAAACCAAAUAUCCGCGAAAUUAGAAUCGGAGGUAAUUUCAGAGCGAGCUGCGAAAGAAGAAGCGAUUGAAAAAAUUUCGAAACUAGAAGAAUUUAUUCAAGAGAUUGCUUCGGAAAGAAACAAAUUUAAACGUAUGAACGAUCAAUUAAUAGCUGAAUUAAAUCAAAAGACUGCCAAUUUCGAAUCGAAAUUUGGAAAUGAACAGGUGACGAUAAAGGUUACCGAAUUGGAGAAAAAGAUUGAAGAAGUUAGCAACGAAAAAGAUGAACUUGAACAUCUUAAUGCAGAAUUGCAAUCGACAGUUGUAUUAGAGCAAACCGAGCGUCGAAAGGCGAUUGAAAAGAUCUCUGAACUGGAAAAGGAAAUUGAAAAUAUAACGCGUUCGAAAUGCAAAUUGGAACAUGUUAAUACGGAAUUGAAAUCGAGGAUAACAUCGGACCAAGAUACAAAUCGAGAAGCGAUGGCAGUAAUUUCCGAGUUGGACAGACAAAAUAGAGAUAAUGAAGAAAGAAAAGAAAUGGAGGAUACUAAUUGUGAAUCAUGCGACGAACAAAAUGAGAUUUUAGAAUUGGAAGUGAAAAACGAUACGGAGAAAGAUGUAGAAAAUGUAAUUGUCGAUGGCAAAGGGGAUACUAUAAUGUUAGAUACGGAAUUAAAAAUGAGCGAAUCUAAAGAAAAUGUUCAAUUGGAAAAUCAGGAACUGAAUGAAACAAAAUGUAACGUUGAGAGUCUCGAACAGGAUAUAGAAACUCUUCGAAAGACUAUUUCUUUACUGAAAACUGAGAAUACGGAAAUAGCUGGCAAAUUAGCCACAGAGCAAGAGAACGCAAAGAGGGCAGAACUUGACCUUCAAAAAACAAUCGAUGAACUUUACAGUCGCAUCAGCGAAGUUACAGUGGAGAAAAUUAAUUUAGAAAGCAAUUUGGAAGCUUUGAACGACGAAUUGAAGUCCACGCGUUCUAGAAUAACGGAAACUCGAAGCGAGGAACAAAUAGUUGCGACGUAUCAAAAUAAAAUCGAUAAUUUAACAGCUGAGAACAUUGAAUUAUCGACUACUAUCGUGGAGAAGAAUAACGAGCUUAAAAGUAUCAAAGAAACCAAGUCGCUUUUGUACGAUCACGAGUGCAUUUAUAAGGAAGAAGUAGCUGUCCUCGCUCAAAAGAACGAAUGUUUAGAAUUACAGAAUAAUGAACUUUCUACGGAUUUAAUAGACAAAAUAGAAGAAAAUGAUGUGCUGAAGGAACGAUGCGAUAUAUUGAAAAGCAAAAUAGAUCAGUUUCAGUUAAUGAAUGAGAAUUCUGUCGAGAGUAGCGAGGAUCAUUUAAGAUCGCAGAAUAACAUGUUGAAGGCAGAAAUAGCAGAAUUGAAGGCGAAAAUGACGAUACUUUCUGAAGAGAACACUAAAUUUUCCAACAACUUGUUAGAAGCAAUGGAAGUUUUCGAUCGCUCUACAUCCGAACAAUUACGGGAUACAUCGAUAACAUUCAGCGACAGUAUCGAGACUGCAAAUUAUAUCGAGCAAAAUAUUGUACAGACAGAAAACCGCGAAGUACUCGCGGGUAUAAUUACAACGUUACAGGAGAAAAUUGGUUACUUAACUCGCUUAAAUAAAAAGCUUAGCGACUUGAAAUUAACUUCCUGUAGUCAGUGCGCGCACUUGAGAAAUUUGAACGAGAGUCGCAGGGCCCUUAAACUCGAAAAGAAAGCUCUGACUCAGAAACUAGAGGACCUGCAAGGUAAAUUAGAUCGCAAGUGCGUAGAUGUCGAAAGGUUGAAGGGAAUAAUCAGCCGAGAAUUGAAUUCGAGCCGACACGAUGUUUCUGCGAACGUGAGUUUCGUGGACGAAGGAAACGUGAGCUUCGUCGAGGAGAGAAUUCGGAAUCUGAACGACGAGUUACAAACGUUAAAGGCAAAUCAUGAUAAAUUAUCGAUUCUGUACGAAGAUAAGUGUAACGAGUUUACAGAGUUCCAGGUUCAGGAAAAGAAGACCACGGAUGCAACGAGUACCGAGUCAAAGGAACGUUCGAGUGAGAGUAGACGCAGAAUAGAACAAAUACAGAAUCAUAUCGACCGAUUGCGAGACAAUAUGGACGAACUCAAGACGAAGAGCGUGGAUUUCACUGUUACGCUCGGUGAAUUGAAAAAUGAAAAAGAAAUGCUCUUGGAUGAAAUCGACGCAUUGAAAGCUGCUAACGAGGAGCUACGAAGGGAAGUAUCUAGUAACGAGAUCGCCUUGAUAGAGAAAAUACGAGUUCUCGAGAAUGAAUUGUCUAACACGAGUAGCGAGAUGGAACAAUUUUUGGCGAGGGAAAAGGAUCUUGAACGCAAGAAGCUAACGUUAGAAACUGAACUAGAGGAACUGAAAGCGAAGGAAGAGAGUAAGAAUACAUUAGUUGAUCAAUUGAACGAGCGUAUAGAGUCUUUGAAAAAUGAAUUAGAUUUAGUUACGAGUCAGAAAAACUCGGAAAUAGAACAACAAGCCUCAGUUAGAAUCAAAGAAUUGGAAGUACGCGUAGACGAUCUUCAAUUGGAUAAAACGAAACAGGAAUGCUUGUACAAGGAAGUCCAAGAAAAAGUAUUCCAGAUAGAAAAGUCAUUGCAAGACAGCGAACAAGCAAAAUGUAUUCUCACGGAAAAAUUGCAAGCAGUCGAAACUGAGUUAACAGAUUCUAAAAGUAAAUUAGAAAGUAAACACAAAGACGAGCUUGAAUCGCUGCCUCUACAGUACGAGCAUCGUAUCGAAGAAUUUGAAAGCAAUUUUAAAACACUUAAAGAUACUUUAAACGAGCACGUUAAUAAAAAUCUGGAAUUAACGAGCGAACUUUCCAGACUGCGAGAUAUUGAGGAGAAAUGCAAUGCCACGAUAAUCGACAACGAAAAGCUUAACGAGUCGUUGAACGACAUUAGAAAAUGUAUGACGAAAGAGUUAAGGUCGCUCAAGUGUAACAGAACUUCCGAGGAUCUCUCAGGUAAAUCUGUGAACGAGAUCUUCGUGAUCUUGCUACAGACGUUCGUGUCGAAAGAGGAGGAUAUGAUUAAAACCAUACGAGAAAGGUUUGAAAAAGAUAAACAGAAAUUGGUGGACGAGAAACAGCAAAGCGCGGAUACCGAGAAACGUGCCACGAUAUGGGCGAAGGAGUUGGAAGCGGAAAUCGAGAAGCUCCAAAAUGAAUUAACGGAACGGGAACGCGUCCAUAAGGAGUAUGAAAAUAAUAUUUCGCAAUUAGAGCAUCUUUUAAGAGAGAGUAACCACGAGAACGAGGUUCUCAAAAGCAACGUGAAGGUGCUCGAGGCAGAUUUGAACAACUGGCAGAUGGAAUUCGAGAAGCGAUACAAGGUCGACAAUAGGCAGGAAGAAGAUUUAUUUAUCGCUCAUAAAAAGGAGAAAGAAACCCAAGAGACAUUUAAAAACAAAGAAAUGGAAUUAGAGUCGAAGAUAGAAUCGGAGAAAGAGAUAUGCGAGAAGAAGAUAAGCGAUCUGGAGUAUACUAUAGAAUCCUAUAAAACAAAGAAUUUAGAGUUGAAUAGCACCGUCGAAGGGCUCGAGGCUAACGAAAAGCAACUGCAGAAUAUCAUAGAAGCGAACUCGAUCGAGAUUAAAAGGAACAAUCAAAAUAUAGAGAGGGUUAACUUGGAACUCGAACAACUCAGAGAAGCUUACAACGAAAUGAGUCAGAAAGUAGAGAAAAAGGAUUCGCAUAUAGAAGAGAUUGCAAAAGUUUUAAAGAAGAAAUGUGACGAGUUAUCAGAGUACAAGACGAAGCUUGAAACUAUAAUGCCAGAAUGCGAAACGUUAAAGGAGAAGAUCGAGAAACAAAAGUCGUCCAUAGAGCGAUACAAAGGUGAAACGGAGGCUCUGCUCGCGGAAAGGGAAGCGCAGUUGGAAAUAAUCAAAGACAAAUUGAAUUCCGAAGAGAUAAAGAAUGCUGGAUUGGUCAAACAGUUGAACGAACUGAAUAAUAAGAACGUGGUACUGAUAGAGAAACUGAACGAAUUGAAAGAAAAGUACGAGGAGCUUAGACAAGAAAAUGCGAAGCUGGAGAGGAAAGGCAGGAACAGUACUAGCAAGAUGGAAAUGGAAGCGAAAAUAGAGGAGCUGAAAGAGACGAAUGGAAGGCUGUUGAAUAAUUUAGAAGGAGCAAGCAAUCGCGUGACCGAGCUUCAAGAGAUUAAAAAUCAGACGUUAAAAGAGGUAGCUGAUUUAAAGGGUAAGGUUGAAGUCUUAAUGAAAGAAAACAGCGAGCUUAAGACGACGUUGUCCAAAAACAGCAGUUUGAGUUCGUUGAUAGAUGAAAGUAAGUACAACGCGCUUCUAUUAGAAAAGAAUUCAAUCGUAUCAGAAUUAGAAAUUAAAGAGUACGCGAGACAGGUCCAACAACUCACAGACAAGAACAAAGAACUGGACGACGAGCUGGAGGAAUACGCAGGAAUAAUUCGAGAACGAGACGAUGAAAUCUCCAAAUUAGAGAACAAAUUAUACUCCCGUCUAACGGAGAACGUACAUAUCAACGAGCUAACUGAGAAAAUAAGAUGCCUGAACGAAGUUAACGAGAAACUUCGAGAUCAGAUCGAUGGGUUCAAAAUGAAAUUGGAAAUGGAUGUAAGAGACGUUGAAACAACGCAGGUAAAGGAUAUUAUUGAUAAGUUGAAGUCGGAAAAUUUGGAACUGCUAGCGAGAUUGAACGAUUACAAGAAACGAGAAGAAAACGCGAAAAGAAAAUUCGAGAUUCUUACGUCUAAUAAAAACCUUUACGAUUACGAGGAAAAGUGUCUGCAAUUGAAAAAGAAAAUUCACGAAUUGGAAUUGGAGUUGGUGUCGAAAAAUGGGAAAAUCGCGACGUUGGAGAUUCAAAUUCAAAGCGAGAGCUUCCCGUAUCAAAAGAAGUGCAAAGAAUUGGAAGAACACUUGCUCGCUUUUCGCACUAAGAAUGCAUAUUUAAAUUCCGAAAUAAGGAAACUACAAAGAACUCUAAACGAUGUUAAUACGUGGGAAUGCGAAGUGUGUAGACGAUGGCGUCUCAAUAGAAAUGAUCAAGCUUGCCAAACACUUCCCAACGAUUCUAUACGUUUCUGCAGCACUGGCAGCGGAAUUGUCGAGGAUCAUAUAAAAAUUCAAAAAUUGGAAAAAGAAAAAGCGUUAAUGAAAGCUCUAUGCCGUUCUCGAUGUCAACGUAUAAGAGAACUAGAGGAUAAAAUAAAGGAACUGGAAUCAACGUAACGUUCAAUUAUUUGAAACCCAAUUGAAGCAUUUGGAGUAUCAAAACUCAUCUAUAGCACGAGUACCUCAGGAUCGGUAGACCCGUACUACAGCUAUGCUCAAACAUAACUGCAGCCCCUGAGGAUUUGUAUUUAGGACGAGGAACCCUAUAAGAAUCACCUACUGGAUAUCGCGGAAUUUAAAAAAAGUUUAAAUUUGUUGGUUAGUGUAAUCUGUAUACUAAGGGAGCUGCGGAUCUAAAAAGUUGGGGAACUUCUGGACUAGGGUGUAUAUGGGAAAUACAAAUUAAGGUGGUCUUACUACUAUUUUCUCCGCCGUGGCCCUUCUGCGGCGUCUGUUAUCGCGCUGCCGCCGCCGCCUGUUACUCUGAAAUUAGUAUAACGAAAUAUAUUAAUUUUAAGUACUAAUAAAAAAUUAUUGACAUAAUUUUGGUUAACGAUUAU